CAAUGUUAAGAUCGCUGAUAAUAAAUGUAGCUAUAGAUGCAAUUAGAAAUCUGUGACCAAGCUUGGAAAGCAAUUUGAACAUAAAAGUGGUAGAUGGGACGAAGACAAAGAUUUGGGGAGAUAGGUGGAACAAUCAGAGGCCUUUAAAGGACUCAUUUCCUGAUUUGUAUAGGAUAUUGCAAUAAUCCAGAGGGCACUGUCAAUGAAUGUUGGUCAGAGCCAGAUACUUUGAGGUGGAUGCAUAGCAAGGAUGGGGUAUUCUCUGUCAACAAGGCCUACAGGUUAAUUAAUAUGCAACCAAACAGAAACCAGCAAAUAUUGUGGAGAAAUGUGUGGAAAAACAUAGCACCAACUAAGGUAAAAUGCUUCACAUGGUCGGUGGUCAGAAGGGCCUGUUUGACACAAGAAGUUUUGAAGAAAAAGGGGUAGAUCAUUGUUUCAAGAUGUCAACUAUGUGAGUAAGCUGAGGAGACCAGCAAUCAUCUUUUUUUGCAUUGCUGUUUCACAUCACAGCUAUGGUCACUAUUCUUUAGUCUUACAAAUACAAUAUGGACCAUGCCUGAACAUGCUGCAGAUUUAUUGAGCUGUUGGAUUAAAAGAGGAGGAAGCAAGUGUCAGAAGAAAUGGUGGAAAAUAAUUCCACUUUGCAUUUGGUGGACAGUGUGGAAGGAAAGGGAUAGCAGAAGCUUUGAAGAUAGGUCCAAUUCCAUCCACUUAGUUAAAUGGAACUUUUUACUUUUGGUGUAAAGAGAAAGAUGUAGAGGAAAUAGACCUUGUAGAUAUCUUAGGAUCUCUGUAAGUAUUUUCUUUCUUGCUACUACUUUUUGUUCUUUUGAUGGUGGCCAGUCUAUCCUAAAUGCUGAGAAAUACAACAUUACCAGUUUCCCCAAAAAAAAAAAAAAAAACAUGUAGCUAUAGAUGCAAGAAAAGAAACCAACAAGGGGACAGCUCCCUUCCUUUUACUUCUGUACGAGAUAGUAGUCUUUCCUCUGUAUUAAUCUGUAUAUGGAACAAAUAAGACUGCAUACAGUGCAAAUGGUGAUAUAGACAGUUUUUUUGAGUUAAUAAGUUACAACAUCACCGAGCAAAUACGCUACAGAUGCUUUUUAGCAAGGGCAACUCAUUGGUAAAAUACUGGUAUUGAUAACUCUUACAUUUUGGUUAGGAAGCCAAUAAGUUUAGAUUUUUAUGUGUGUCACGAUGUGUUCUAUAAAUCUGAUUAUCUAGUGGUUAUCUGUGUUAUCAUGCCAAGGAUAUGUUGCAAUUCUAUUUUCUAACUAGUUUCUAGUUAAUUACACUAAUUGCUUAGUACACUGGAUAUCUGAUAUUUGAAUGAUGAGUCAGCAUUAGUCGAUACUAGAGUUUUUUUUUUUUUUUUUUUUAAAUUCUCUGGUGUUUUUAAGACUGAUAACGUGUUACAUUCUACAGUGAAGCAUGCGUGGAGUUGUCACAUCUUGUGGUUAGGCUCUAGGUGCAGAGAAACUUAUUUGUAUUGUAGAUGGUCGAAUACCAAACUAGUCUGAGCGUCCUAGAUGUUUCGCGAUUUUGCAAGAUGCUUACAUGGUUUGUAGACGAGCUGAGCAAAGUGAGACUGCAGCUAAUUUGAAGCUCUUAGUCAGGAGGAUUUGAAUUGUCUAGGUUACAGCAGUUUCAAUUGACCAGUCGCUUUCCAAAUGGAAGCACCUAUAGCCCCCACAUGUCAGAAUGGUGUUGGUUUUGGCAAUGGUUAUAGGCGGCUUUGAUCUAGUGGACAAGUUUUUGCCACUGGGGGACAAGAGAAGCUAAGUCGUUUUACAACUAGGUGCUGCCUGCUGCUGCUGAUUUUGUUUGCAGAGAGGACGUGAAAGAGUUUCACCUGCUGAACGAGAUCAGUAGUGAAGCUAGUAAGGGAAUUGAAAGCUAUGGAGUUGGGAUAGUGGUAGCUUGAACUACCGGUUGGAUCUUUCCACAAUGACCAAACUUUUGCUAGAAGAUUAGCACAACUUGGAAAAGAAAAUGUUGGCUGAAAAGAAAAAGUGAAAAAUUGCAUGUUUUUGUUUUUCAUUUUAUCUUAUUAGGAUGAG